GACGAACGCUGGCGGCGUGCUUAACACAUGCAAGUCGAACGGAAAGGCCCUGCUUUUGUGGGGUGCUCGAGUGGCGAACGGGUGAGUAACACGUGAGUAACCUGCCCUUGACUUUGGGAUAACUUCAGGAAACUGGGGCUAAUACCGGAUAGGAGCUCCUGCUGCAUGGUGGGGGUUGGAAAGUUUCGGCGGUUGGGGAUGGACUCGCGGCUUAUCAGCUUGUUGGUGGGGUAGUGGCUUACCAAGGCUUUGACGGGUAGCCGGCCUGAGAGGGUGACCGGCCACAUUGGGACUGAGAUACGGCCCAGACUCCUACGGGAGGCAGCAGUGGGGAAUAUUGCACAAUGGGCGGAAGCCUGAUGCAGCAACGCCGCGGGCGGGAUGACGGCCUUCUGGUUGUAAACCGCUUUCGCCUGUGACGAAGCGUGAGUGACGGUAAUGAGUAAAGAAGCACCGGCUAACUACGUG
rnacentral:rRNA from 1 species